rnacentral:rRNA from 1 species
CGCCUGUUUAUCAAAAACAUCGCCUCUUGAUUAUUAUAAGAGGUCCAGCCUGCCCAGUGACCAGUUUAACGGCCGCGGUACCCUAACCGUGCGAAGGUAGCAUAAUCACUUGUUUCUUAAAUGGAGACUAGUAUCAACGGCAUCACGAAGACUACACUGUCUCCCCCCUAAAAUCAAUGAAACUGAUCCCCUCGUGAAGAAGCGAGGAUAUAAACAUAAGACGAGAAGACCCCAUGGAGCUUUAAACGAAUCUCAACUGCUCCCUCCCUAAUCAUAGAAAUUGAGCAUUAAUGAUGAGUAGUUUUCGGUUGGGGUGACCGCGGAGUAAAACAAAACCUCCACAAUGAAUGUAAAAACCACUAAUAAAAGAACCACAAUUCUAAUAAUCAAAAAAUUGACAUAUUUGACCCAAACAUUUGAUCAAUGAACCAAGUUACCCUGGGGAUAACAGCGCAAUCCAUUUUAAGAGCCCCUAUCGACAAAUGGGUUUACGACCUCGAUGUUGGAUCAGGGUAUCCUAGUGGUGCAGCCGCUACUAAUGGUUCGUUUGUUCAACGAUUAAAACCCUACGUGAUCUGA